rnacentral:rRNA from 1 species
UACGGAGGGUGCAAGCGUUGUCCGGAUUUAUUGGGUUUAAAGGGUGCGUAGGCGGCUAUUUAAGUCAGUGGUGAAAUCCCUCAGCUUAACUGAGGAACUGCCAUUGAUACUGGAUGGCUUGAGUUAGGUAGAGGUAAGCGGAAUUGAAGGUGUAGCGGUGAAAUGCAUAGAUAUCUUCAAGAACCCCGAUAGCGAAGGCAGCUUACUGGACCUAUACUGACGCUGAGGCACGAAAGCAUGGGGAUCGAAC